rnacentral:antisense_RNA from 1 species
UACAAUGGUGGCGCUGGUAGGGCAGCUUUCGGGCUGGCCGGUAACCUUGUACGCCGGUAUUCCUACCCCUGCCAGCGUCACCGCCAUC